GCUAUUUCCUCAGUAGUAGCAUCAUCAUUCGAGUAUAGAUCUUCCACCAUUUCCUUAAGCUCUUCCACUAGUUUUUCUGAAUUCACAUUAUUCUGUCUCCUCCACUGACUCAAAGCUUUUCAACAACUGGCAAUAUGUUCCAUUAUGUUCGCAUCAGGAGGAAGAUCCUCUGAUUUUCAUCCCUCAAGAAUGACUUGCCGUAGUUCCUCAUUAACCAACCAACGUUUAUCAAACUUGAAUUUCUUUUUCUUUCUCAUUGGCUUAGAGAGAAUAUCUGCUAGGAUCGGACGAUGGUCUGAUCCCCAGAGCCUGAGAUACUUGCUAGCUGUAUGUGGAAACUUCUCAUGUCAAUCUUCAGUCCCCACCGUUCUAUCUAAACGGCAUCUAACAGUUGCUCCACCUGACCUCUUUCCAACCCAAAAAAGCAUGUUCCCAGUAAAUGAAAAUUCCAACAUACCACAAUCA
rnacentral:lncRNA from 1 species